rnacentral:tRNA from 1 species
CAGGUGCACCUCGGGCGGUCCGUCGGGCACGUCGUUGUCGUCGGCGUCGGCGUAAAAGAGCAGGUACGGCGGGUUCAGCACCCACACGCCUCC